AACGAACGCUGGCGGCAUGCCUAACACAUGCAAGUCGAACGAGACCUUCGGGUCUAGUGGCGCACGGGUGCGUAACGCGUGGGAACCUGCCCUUAGGUUCGGAAUAACUCCCCGAAAGGGGUGCUAAUACCGGAUAAUGUCUUCGGACCAAAGAUUUAUCGCCUUUGGAUGGGCCCGCGUUGGAUUAGCUAGUUGGUAGGGUAAAAGCCUACCAAGGCGACGAUCCAUAGCUGGUCUGAGAGGAUGAUCAGCCACACUGGGACUGAGACACGGCCCAGACUCCUACGGGAGGCAGCAGUGGGGAAUAAUGGACAAUGGGCGAAAGCCUGAUCCAGCAGUGCCGCGUGAGUGAUGAAGGCCUUAGGGUUGUAAAGCUCUUUUACCCGGGAUGAUAAUGACAGUACCGGGAGAAUAAGCUCCGGCUAACUCCGU
rnacentral:rRNA from 1 species